rnacentral:rRNA from 1 species
UACGAAGGGGGCUAGCGUUGUUCGGAAUUACUGGGCGUAAAGGGCUCGUAGGUGGCCAACUAAGUCAGACGUGAAAUCCCUCGGCUUAACCGGGGAACUGCGUCUGAUACUGGAUGGCUUGAGUUUGGGAGAGGGACGCGGAAUUCCAGGUGUAGCGGUGAAAUGCGUAGAUAUCUGGAGGAACACCGGUGGCGAAGGCGGCGUCCUGGACCAACACUGACACUGAGGAGCGAAAGCCAGGGGAGCAAACGGG